UAAAUGUGAUUGCUGUAGUGGUCCUUAUUCCGCUUUUAAGUGGGCUGGUGUGAGAUGUAAGGUUUGUUCCCGCUUCUGGCAUAAAACUUGCUAUGAUAAAAAUGUGAAGCCCAAACCUGACCCCUUAACAUCCGAUUCUGAAGUAGAAUUUUCCAGUGAGAACAUGUCGGAUGAGGACUAUGUACCUAAUUCUGUCUCAGAAAGUUCAGACACAAGCAAAGCUUCUCCAGAAAAACUCUUAAACAUUAAAAAUACUGACGUGUUCGGCAUCAAAUCUACUGCAGAAAUUCAAAAUGGUAGACCAUGCCAAGACAGUGUCAUAGGUAAAGAUUCACUCCCAAAAGUUCCAGUCUGCACAGCACAGCUUGAAAUGCCUAGUAAGAAAGGCAAACAAGUACAAAUAUCGAAAGUUCACAGCGAUGUAAGCGUUGGCAAUACUGAAAACACUGUUGAGGAUCUCACAGGCACAGGGGAUGAUCCAUCUUUACACUCUUCAAAUAUAUCUUCCUCAGUAAGCAAAAAGAAUUACUGCUACAUUUGUGGAAAACCACAGUCAAAAUUUACACGCCACUUAAAAAUCCAUGAGAAUUCCAACGUCGAUGUUGCUCGGGCUUUGGCUCUACCAAAACAUUCCAAAGAGCGUCUAAAACUUCUGAACAAACUGCGGAACAAAGGGAACUAUGAACACAAUGCAGAUGUUUUAGCGAAUGGGACUGGAUUGUUAAAAAUCAAA